CGGCCAGGGGAAUUCCUGGCAGAGUGAUUUUUAAACCUAAUGACUGAAUCACAUUGCCAGGGAUUUCCAAUGGCUC
rfam:Danio rerio chromosome 3, GRCz11 reference primary assembly.